rnacentral:rRNA from 1 species
AGAGUUUGAUCCUGGCUCAGGAUGAACGCUGGCGGCGUGCUUAACACAUGCAAGUCGAACGAACCUUCGGGUUAGUGGCGGACGGGUGAGUAACGCGUGAGAAUCUGCCCUUAGGAGGGGGAUAACGGCUGGAAACGGCCGCUAAUACCCCAUAUGCCGAGAGGUGAAAUGAAUUUCGCCUGAGGAUGAGCUCGCGUCUGAUUAGCUAGUUGGUGUGGUAAAGGCUCACCAAGGCAUCGAUCAGUAGCUGGUCUGAGAGGAUGAUCAGCCACACUGGGACUGAGACACGGCCCAGACUCCUACGGGAGGCAGCAGUGGGGAAUUUUCCGCAAUGGGCGCAAGCCUGACGGAGCAACGCCGCGUGAGGGAUGAAGGCCUCUGGGCUGUAAACCUCUUUUAUCAAGGAAGAAGAUCUGACGGUACUUGAUGAAUAAGCCACGGCUAAUUCCGUGCCAGCAGCCGCGGUAAUACGGGAGUGGCAAGCGUUAUCCGGAAUUAUUGGGCGUAAAGCGUCCGCAGGCGGUCUUGAAAGUCUGUUGUUAAAGCGUGGAGCUCAACUCCAUUUCAGCAAUGGAAACUAGAAGACUAGAGUGUGGUAGGGGCAGAGGGAAUUCCCGGUGUAGCGGUGAAAUGCGUAGAUAUCGGGAAGAACACCAGUGGCGAAGGCGCUCUGCUGGGCCAUAACUGACGCUCAUGGACGAAAGCCAGGGGAGCGAAAGGGAUUAGAUACCCCUGUAGUCCUGGCCGUAAACGAUGAACACUAGGUGUCGGGGGAAUCGACCCCCUCGGUGUCGUAGCCAACGCGUUAAGUGUUCCGCCUGGGGAGUACGCACGCAAGUGUGAAACUCAAAGGAAUUGACGGGGGCCCGCACAAGCGGUGGAGUAUGUGGUUUAAUUCGAUGCAACGCGAAGAACCUUACCAGGGUUUGACAUCCUGCGAAUCCCUUGGAAACUUGGGAGUGCCUUCGGGAGCGCAGUGACAGGUGGUGCAUGGCUGUCGUCAGCUCGUGUCGUGAGAUGUUGGGUUAAGUCCCGCAACGAGCGCAACCCACGUCUUUAGUUGCCAGCAUUAAGUUGGGCACUCUAGAGAGACUGCCGGUGAUAAACCGGAGGAAGGUGUGGAUGACGUCAAGUCAUCAUGCCCCUUACAUCCUGGGCUACACACGUACUACAAUGCUACGGACAAAGGGCAGCAAACUCGCGAGAGCUAGCAAAUCCCAUAAACCGUGGCUCAGUUCAGAUCGUAGGCUGCAACUCGCCUACGUGAAGGAGGAAUCGCUAGUAAUCGCAGGUCAGCAUACUGCGGUGAAUACGUUCCCGGGCCUUGUACACAUCGCCCGUCACACCAUGGGAGUUGGUUGCACC